rnacentral:lncRNA from 1 species
GGCAUUUGAAUUUCGGCUUGUCGGCGUUGCACCAGCCCUCCGGUCCGAACAGGUCCUGGUAGGGGGUCCCCCCCCACUCCACCUUCCGGCCCUCCGCAUCCUGAGGGGGGCAGCCAGUCCGUCCGGUAAGAGCCCAGACCUUGGCGGAGCGAAUCCGUCCUGUGACUUAUCGGUUCUUACUAACAUUACGCGCUACCCCUCCCCCACCCCUCGAGGGGGAGGACAUCAUUACAUUUCUGACCAUUAGGGUUUCAUGUCAUGCCGCCAUCACCCCAGGAUUCGUCUUUCGCAUGCUGCCAAAUGUUAGGUUGAUAUCAUGCAUAAAACGUUACCUAGCAAGCAUAAACCACAUGCAUACUGAAGUAUUACACAAUAGGAACAGCAGCAGCUAUUCAUCUCGCCGCCGCAAGAACGAUUCAUCUCGCCGCCGCAAUAAGGAAGGUGAGCUGCUGCUGCUGCUGCUGCUACAGGCAGCAAUGAUGGGAUGCUGGUGAGAGCUGUAGCAGAAGUAGUUGGCCGUGACGAGGACAACUGCGCGGGCAGCAGUAGCGGCAGCAGCAGCAACCACCCCGCCACCGUUGUCCUCUUUCGGCUGCCCCCCCCUCCCCCUCCCCCUCCCCCUCCCCCCACAUCUACAUCUACAUCUACAACUGCUAUUCCUGUACCCCCUCGCCCCCCCUCCCUCUCCCCCUCCGCCCCCCAUCCGCCUGCUAAAAAGGGUCGUUUUUCCCGCCCGGUCAUCUUUGUCUCUCUCUUCCGUCCCCCCUCCCCUCCCCCCUUCCCUCACACACCUCUCCCGGACUGCACAUGAACAGCGGCCGACCAGCACGUACGGGCGGCGUGCCCAGGGGUGACCCCGGCGGCGCCUCAAUCCUGCCGUACUUGGUUUCGGGGGGGCAGUAGCACAUGGCGAUGUCGUCAUCGCAAAUACCUGGAGUUGAGGGGGUGUUGGGAACAGAGCAUGUGUAUACGUAUGUAUGUAUGUGCGGCGGCCGAGAGGUGGCAAAGGGAAAGAGCACACAGCGGUGGAGGAA